UGGGGAAUAUUGCACAAUGGGCGCAAGCCUGAUGCAGCAACGCCGCGUGAACGAUGAAGGUCUUCGGAUCGUAAAGUUCUGUUGCAGGGGAAGAUAAUGACGGUACCCUGUGAGGAAGCCCCGGCUAACUACGUGCCAGCAGCCGCGGUAAUACGUAGGGGGCUAGCGUUAUCCGGAUUUACUGGGCGUAAAGGGUGCGUAGGUGGUCUUUCAAGUCGGUGGUUAAAGGCUACGGCUCAACCGUAGUUAGCCUCCGAAACUGGAAGACUUGAGUGCAGGAGAGGAAAGUGGAAUUCCAAGUGUAGCGGUGAAAUGCGUAGAUAUUGGGAGGAACACCAGUAGCGAAGGCGGCUUUCUGGACUGCAACUGACACUGAGGCACGAAAGCGUGGGUAGCAAACAGG
rnacentral:rRNA from 1 species